GAGGGACUGUGGCUCAGUGGUAGAGCAUCUGCUUAAAAUGCAGAAGGUCCCAGGUUCAAUCCCCGGGUCCUCCA